rnacentral:rRNA from 1 species
GACGAACGCUGGCGGCGUGCCUAAUACAUGCAAGUUGAGCGAUGAAGCUUGGUGCUUGCACCAAUUUGAAGAGCAGCGAACGGGUGAGUAACGCGUGGGGAAUCUGCCUUUGAGCGGGGGACAACAUUUGGAAACGAAUGCUAAUACCGCAUAACAACUUUAAACAUAAGUUUUAAGUUUGAAAGAUGCAAUUGCAUCACUCAAAGAUGAUCCCGCGUUGUAUUAGCUAGUUGGUGAGGUAAAGGCUCACCAAGGCGAUGAUACAUAGCCGACCUGAGAGGGUGAUCGGCCACAUUGGGACUGAGACACGGCCCAAACUCCUACGGGAGGCAGCAGUAGGGAAUCUUUGGCAAUGGACGAAAGUCUGACCGAGCAACGCCGCGUGAGUGAAGAAGGGUUUCGGAUCGUAAAACUCUGUUGGUAGAGAAGAACGUUGGUGAGAGUGGAAAGCUCAUCAAGUGACGGUAACUACCCAGAAAGGGACGGCUAACUACGUG